UUGGAGGGCAAGUCUGGUGCCAGCAGCCGCGGUAAUUCCAGCUCCAAUAGCGUAUAUUAAAGUUGUUGCAGUUAAAAAGCUCGUAGUUGAAUUUCGGGAUCAGACUGUCGGUCGUGCCUCGGUACGCACUGGCAUUAUUGGUUCCUACCUUCUGAAGAACCCGCGAUGUCAUUAAUUUGGUGUCGUGGGGAAUCAGGACUGUUACUUUGAAAAAUUGAGUGUUUAAAGCAGGCGCACGCUUGAAUACAUUAGCAUGGAAUAAUGAAAUGGACUUUGAUUCUAUUUUGUUGGUUUCUAGGAUCGACGUAAUGAUUAAUAGGGAUAGUUGGGGGCAUUAGUAUUCAAUUGUCAGAGGUGAAAUUCUUGGAUUUAUUGAAGACUAACUACUGCGAAA
rnacentral:rRNA from 1 species